AAGGGGGCGCAUUGGGGGUAGCAUACUUCAGAUGGCGACCGGCGCACGGGUGAGUAACACGUAUCCAACCUGUCGCUUACUCGGGGAUAGCCUUUCGAAAGAAAGAUUAAUACCCGAUGGUAUAAAGAGUUCGCAUGUUCUCUUUAUUAAAGAAUUUCGGUAAGCGAUGGGGAUGCGUUCCAUUAGAUAGUUGGCGGGGUAACGGCCCACCAAGUCUACGAUGGAUAGGGGUUCUGAGAGGAAGGUCCCCCACAUUGGAACUGAGACACGGUCCAAACUCCUACGGGAGGCAGCAGUGAGGAAUAUUGGUCAAUGGACGAGAGUCUGAACCAGCCAAGUAGCGUGAAGGAUGACUGCCCUAUGGGUUGUAAACUUCUUUUAUAAGGGAAUAAAGUGAGGGACGUGUCCCUUUUUGUAUGUACCUUAUGAAUAAGGAUCGGCUAACUCCGUGCCAGCAGCCGCGGUAAUACGGAGGAUCCAAGCGUUAUCCGGAUUUAUUGGGUUUAAAGGGAGCGUAGGUUGACAUAUAAGUCAGCUGUGAAAGUUUACGGCUCAACCGUGAAAUUGCAGUUGAUACUGUAUGUCUUGAGUGUACAAGAGGUGGGCGGAAUUCGUGGUGUAGCGGUGAAAUGCUUAGAUAUCACGAAGAACUCCGAUG
rnacentral:rRNA from 1 species